CCCUGAUGGCGGCCCUGAUGCUCGGUUAUAGCUAAUUUUUAGCACUCUAGAUGUUUUUUUUUUUUAAAUAUACCAGCCACAGCUAACCAUCCCAACUCUAGCCGUAUGUGUGUGCAAGGGGUUUGCUUAAUGCAGGCCAAAUUAUUCUCCCUUUACUCUGUUUAGGUCUCUAUGAGAACUUUUGUGCUGGUUUGCUUUUAAAGGGUAAAAUGAUGGCUGUCACCUGUUUAUAAACUGAUCAAAGAAAUUGCAUUUUGUAUCUUGUUUCUUAAAUUUCUCUUUUGAAACAAAGUUUAAAUGGUAGUUUUCUCUGAGUGCACACUAUUAUUCUCCACACACUUAUGAGUCUAG